rnacentral:lncRNA from 1 species
UCCGGAUUUUGGGAUUUUGGGAUCCGGAUUUUGGGAUCCGGGAUUUUGGGUUUGAUGCUCCCUGGGAUGGGGAAAUGCCAGGAAAAAAAAGGGAAUUUUGGGAUUUUGGGAUGGAAUUCCUGCCUGGAACAGAAUUCCGGGGAUUUUCCAUGGAUUUGAUGGGAUUCCCAUGGAUAUGAUGGAAUUUCCAUGGAUUUUUCCCAUGGAUUUUCCGGGAUUUGCAGGAGGAGGAGCCGAAGGCGCCGGAGCCGCCCGGGAAGGCCGAGGAGGCGCCGCUGAAGUCGCCGGACGUGAUCCAGGAGAAGAAAGUGGUGAAGAUCUCCUCGGACAUCUCCCAGAUGGAGGUAAAAACUGGGAAUUUCGGGAAUUUGGGGAAUUUUUGGGGA